CCUGUGUUUUCAUUACAAACAGCAGACUCAGACACUAAAAUAUCGAUACAUAAAAGAACUCUGAGACCAAACACCGGUCACUGAUUGGUGAUCAGUGAUUACAGGCGAUCGAGUGGCCUUAUUUGGCCGGAAAAUAGAAUAACCCUUAUCCGCUGGCGGCAACGGUCAUAUUUCCAGUUAGAAAUUUCACUGAGAGCUCAAGUUUGUCAUUUUUUUGGAUAUUAGGUUAUAUUGCGAAAUGGGCAUAAGUUAAAACAAAGAGAGAGAAUUGCAGAAAUGGAGUGGAAGGAGAGUAUUGUGAAUGGAAGAGGAAUAUCAGAAUUAACGGCUGGGACCUGGGAUUGUUCAAUUUGUAGAGGUGGAUCCGAUGUUCUGGUGUUAGUUGGGUAACUUCGGUUCAUGCAGUUAGGGUUUAGUUUUGCUCUUGCUUCUAUUAUUUUACACGAAAAAAAAGCGAGUGGUUUUGUGGAACAGGAAUUUACAGUUUACCGGUAUGUAUUAUAUUUUCCCUGUUUCAAAGAAGCCACGAGUCAUUUUAUUAGUGCAAAGCCAAAGGUAUGUAAGCUGACUGUAACGGGUGUUGUAUUUAUGUUCUUGCUGUAUAAAGCAUCAAACUUUCUGAUUGCUGCAAGAAUUUUUUGACACAAAGCUAUUGACUUUAUUGUGGAAGAUUAUAAAUACUUUUAAAUACUUUUCAAUUGGAAAAUUUAGGGUUUUUUUACGGGGGUUGUUGGAAUGGUGUAGAUUAUGCAGAAGUUUAUGAGGUCUUGAGAUUGAGGUUGAGGGGUUGCCAUAAAUCUGGCUUUCUGGAUCGCUCAAACCCUAAAAGACCAGAGCUGGAUCUUCUUUCUUUCUCCCAAAAAAAAAAACAAAUAGACACUGCCUCAGCUAAGGACCCUAUAACAGAAACAAAGGAAAGGUCAGAUUUUACUGUAUUUGGAGCCAAGAUCCCCUUUGAUUCUGUAUAUCUCAUUUCUUGGUUUUUCAAUCUUGGAUUUGGUUGAUUUGACUGUUUGAUUUUUUUGACCUUAAAAGUAUUAAAGAAUCAGAUUGUUACCUAUUUUGAUUGUUAAGCACCUGUAGCUACCGUAUAGGCUCAACAGUUUAUUGUGGGUUAAUUUCCUUGUCUGAAACAGUUUAGAAAACCAGAUUAGUUUUGUGGGUAACUAAUUUAAGACAUUACUUGCUUAGUUUGAGGAUUACAACUUUUUAAUUCUAUGUAUUGCUGGUUCUGGAUUUUGGGCAGCUAAAGGCAUCUGCUACUUUUACUCGCUCUACUUGGCUUCAAUUGUUUGUUGUUGUAUUCUUGCAUCUACUAGUCUUUGAGAACAAACAGGAAUAGAAAGAUGCAUGCGAGGCAUCGAAGUCCUGGAAAUGGGUUCAGGUCUAAUUCGAUGGGGAUGGGCUUGGGCACCUCAAGGAUAUCCCCUGAAAAUUCAGCCAGAGGUCGUGGCUUUUACAAUUCUGAAUACAGAAGCUUCAAUAAUCGUGGUUUUGGCCGUGGCCAGGGCCAGCAUAAAUCAUUUCAGCAACCAUCUCAGCCACCACCACGCAAAGGAGACAUUUUGAUGGAAGCUGGUAGACUUGCAGCUGAGUAUUUAGUUUCCAAGGGAUUGUUACCUCAGAGUGCACUUUCUGGUAAGUGGCAGAAUGGUAGUUUGAAGAAGCAAGUUAGUGAUUAUCAGGAUCUUAGGUUACAAGAGGACCUUACACAGGAAGGCCGAACAUCUGCUCAUGCCCGUGUAGGAAGUGGUUCUUCUGAUGAAGGAGCAGGUAGGAGAAAGUAUUCUGAUGACUUCAGUUUGAAGAAUCAUGUAAGAGGAAGGAGGAGAGGAGAGUAUUACAAUCGGAGUUAUAGCUCAGAAAGAGAGUAUGGGAGGAGUGGGUGUAUGUCAGAUACAAAUAGAGUAUCUCCUGAUAUGGAGGGAGGUGAUGAUGCUGUUUCUGGACAUUAUGAAGAGCGGCAAGUUGGCGGAGAUGUUGGAGAUGGGAUGCAGAAGUCUGUUCAGAGUGGGUCUGCACCAGAAAGUGAGGAAGCAACUGAUAUGGAAUCAGGAGCGGAGUUUAAUAAUUCAGAUGAAAUGGGUUCUAAGCCAAGUUCUUUUAGUGUUAAAGAUAAGACUGAUGGGGAACCUAUCAAGGCAUCUGAUGGUUUGACAAACUUGAAUGUGGGGAUUGAGGAGACAAAGGACUCCAAUGAUGAUCAAGAAACUGAGAAACAGAUUGUUCCUGACGGCUCAACCAUUGAGCACUCUGCAGUGGAGGGUGAUCUCUCUGGCAAACGUGGAUCUGAUUUACUAACAUUUUGCAAAUUUGCCAAGAUCCCAACAAAAACACGCUCUGCAUUGACAUACAGGGGGCCCAAGAUUGACCAAGUUCUGAAGAAGGAAGAGGAAAACACAUCUGGUAUCGUGCCUUCCAAAGGAUCUGAAGUCUCAAUUGAAUAUGGCAGUCUUGAUUUUUCUGCAGCUGAUGUGCUACCAAAUACAACUCAUGAUCCAAAAUACUCUGAUCCUGAAAUAUCAAAAGCAGUGCCUGCACAGUCUGCUGAGGAUGCAGGAGAAUUAGACCCUGCAUAUGGUUCUGACCAUGGUAAAUGCAUGAGGUCUCAGUCAUUUCCAGAUAGAGCUUUUAUGCAUAAUACUGAGCAGGAACCAAGUCAGGGGGUUCCAGGUUUUGGAAGGUCCACCUCGGUUAAAGAGAGAGGUGAGAAACGAACUGCAGAAGAUAAUAGUGUGAAUGAAGCAACCAAGAAACCUAGAGAAUGGCUUCCGUCGUUGGUUGGUAUAGCUGGUGACCAUCUUCAUCUUUCUAAUUUAAUUCAAAAUCAAGAUAGUUUACAAGACGGGAGGACUUCAUCUGAUCAGCAUGCGAUUGUGGCCGAUACACAAGCCAGCUUGGUAAAUAGUCAUCAAGUUGCAAAGCCUGGUGGUGAAGCAUGCGUUGAUUAUUCACAAGAGAAGCAGCUUUUUCCAAGUUCAUUCAAGAUCUGUGACCUUAACCUAAUGGAAGCUUCUGAUAUAAAUGAUAAUCAUUGUAAUGAUCCAGUUCUUGUGUACCGCUCUAUCGCAGCAAAGAAAAAGGAAGCAGAACAGAUUGACGUUGACUUGUCAAUGAGUAAUUCCAACCUUUCUGGUGAAUAUCCUAGAUCCACAGAAAAUGGCAAAAAUAUUGAAGUUAUUGAUUUGGAGAAUGAAGAAGAUAAUGCUUUUGAUAAUUCACAGAGAAAGGAAAUACCAUUUACUGGCACAGAAGGGUUUCCAAAUAAUGCUCAGAAUGCUGAAGAUAUUGCUGAUGUUCCUGACAGCUAUGAUAGUCUUACAAUUUCUGAGUUCCUUACUACUUUUUCAAAUUGUGCUUCCGUAUCAGAGGAUAUUAAUCCACUGCAGAAUGAGAUGGGUCUUCAUAAUGGAGAGGGGACUCUUGGCGACGAUGACUCAAUUUACAUGUCUCUGGGAGAAAUACCAUUAAGUAUGCCAGAUUUUUAAUUUCAUGGCUUUAUACCAGCCUGGGAGCAGCAAACACCACAGGAAUAUGGGAAGCCCUUUUGAUCUGGCAAUUCUUCCAAUCAGCGAGUGUAUAUUAGUUGUGUUACUACAUCUUUGUGCUGCAACUCAUUCCUCAUUAACAAGGAGUAUCAUCGGGCUCAUAUAAAGUUUGCGAGCGGGCCAGCCUAAAUGAAUUUUUUUUUUUUAAAUCAAAUGAUGUUAUGAAUUUAAUAAUUUCCAAAAUUUAUUUAAAAAUUGAACAUAUAUUCUGUAAUUUUUAUGGUAAAUGUGUAAUUCUUAAUUAUUGUAUUAUUAAUUUUUUAGGAAAUAAUUUUCUAAAAAAUGUAUUGAUGCAUAAAACUGUAAUAUAUAAAAUUAAACUAUAUGCGAGUGAACGAAUGGGUUAGGAGCUUAGAUAA